rnacentral:rRNA from 1 species
CCUACGGGUUGCACCAGGCGCGAAACCUUUACAAUGCACGCAAGUGUGAUAAGGGGAUCCUAAGUGCUCAUGCAUAGCAUGGGCUUUUGCCAAUCGUAAAUAGUUUGGCGAAUAAGUGGUGGGUAAGACUGGUGCCAGCCGCCGCGGUAACACCAGCGCCACGAGUGGCAACCACGUUUAUUGGGCCUAAAGCGUCCGUAGCCGGUUAGAUAAAUCUCUUGUGAAAUCGUCAAGCUCAACUUGACGGCGUGCUUGAGACACUGUUUAACUUGAGACCGGGAGGAGUCAAAAGUAUUCCUGAGGGAGCGGUAAAAUGUGAUAAUCUCAGGAGGACUAUCUAUGGCGAAGGCAUUUGACCAGAACGGAUCUGACGGUGAGGGACGAAGGCCAGGGGAGCGAUCCGGAUUAGAUACCCCAGUAGUC